GCCGGGGUAGCUCAAUCGGUAGAGCGUGUGGCUCUUAUGAUAACCGUAAUGGUUGUUUACAGAACACCUCAAGGUCGUGGGUUCGAGCCCCACCUUCGGCU
rfam:Sphaerulina musiva SO2202 unplaced genomic scaffold SEPMTscaffold_8, whole genome shotgun sequence.